UGGGGAAUAUUGCACAAUGGGGGAAACCCUGAUGCAGCGACGCCGCGUGAGCGAUGAAGGCUUUCGAGUCGUAAAGCUCUGUCCUAUGGGAAGAUAAUGACGGUACCAUAGAAGAAAGCCCCGGCUAAUUACGUGCCAGCAGCCGCGGUAAUACGUAAGGGGCGAGCGUUGUCCGGAAUUAUUGGGCUUAAAGGGCAUCUAGGCGGUAAGACAAGUUGAAGGUGAAAACCUGUGGCUCAACCAUAGGCUUGCCUACAAAACUGUUGAACUAGAGUACUGGAAAGGUGGGUGGAACUACACGAGUAGAGAUGAAAGUCGUAGAUAUGUGUAGGAAUGCCGAUGAUGAAGAUAACUCACUGGACAGAAACUGACGCUGAAGUGCGAAAGCUAGGGGAGCAAACAGG
rnacentral:rRNA from 1 species